GACGAACGCUGGCGGCGUGCUUAACACAUGCAAGUCAAACGGAAAGGCCCUGCUUUUGUGGGGUGCUCGAGUGGCGAACGGGUGAGUAACACGUGAGUAACCUGCCCUUGACUUUGGGAUAACUUCAGGAAGCUGGGGCUAAUACCGGAUAGGAGCUCCUGCUGCAUGGUGGGGGUUGGAAAGUUUCGGCGGUUGGGGAUGGACUCGCGGCUUAUCAGCUUGUUGGUGGGGUAGUGGCUUACCAAGGCUUUGACGGGUAGCCGGCCUGAGAGGGUGACCGGCCACAUUGGGACUGAGAUACGGCCCAGACUCCUACGGGAGGCAGCAGUGGGGAAUAUUGCACAAUGGGCGGAAGCCUGAUGCAGCAACGCCGCGUGCGGGAUGACGGCCUUCGGGUUGUAAACCGCUUUCGCCUGUGACGAAGCGUGAGUGACGGUAAUGGGUAAAGAAGCACCGGCUAACUACGUG
rnacentral:rRNA from 1 species